CUUCCACAAUGGGUGCAAACCUGAUGGAGCAAUACCGCGUGAGUGAAGAAGGUCUUCGGAUCGUAAAGCUCUGUUGUUAGAGAAGAACAAGUCGGGUAGUAACUGCCCCGACCUUGACGGUAUCUAACCAGAAAGUCACGGCUAACUACGUGCCAGCAGCCGCGGUAAUACGUAGGUGACAAGCGUUGUCCGGAUUUAUUGGGCGUAAAGCGAGCGCAGGCGGUCUUUUAAGUCUGAUGUGAAAGCCCACGGCUCAACCGUGGAGGGUCAUUGGAAACUGGAAGACUUGAAUGCAGAAGAGGAAAGUGGAAUUCCAUGUGUAGCGGUGAAAUGCGUAGAUAUAUGGAGGAACACCAGUGGCGAAGGCGACUUUCUGGUCUGUAAUUGACGCUGAGGCUCGAAAGCGUGGGGAGCGAACAGGAUUAGAUACCCUGGUAGUCCACGCCGUAAACGAUGAGUGCUAAGUGUUGGAGGGUUUCCGCCCUUCAGUGCUGGAGCUAACGCAUUAAGCACUCCGCCUGGGGAGUACGGCCGCAAGGCUGAAACUCAAAGGAAUUGACGG
rnacentral:rRNA from 1 species